UUCUAUGUCUAUGAAAACUUAGAGGAGCAG
rnacentral:piRNA from 1 species